UACGUAGGGUGCAAGCGUUAUCCGGAAUUAUUGGGCGUAAAGAGCUCGUAGGCGGUUUGUCGCGUCUGCUGUGAAAACCCGAGGCUCAACCUCGGGCCUGCAGUGGGUACGGGCAGACUAGAGUGCGGUAGGGGAGAAUGGAAUUCCUGGUGUAGCGGUGGAAUGCGCAGAUAUCAGGAGGAACACCGAUGGCGAAGGCAGCUUGCUGGGACGGUACUGACGCUAAGGCGCGAAAGCGUGGGGAGCGAACAGG
rnacentral:rRNA from 1 species